GUGUGUCUUUUGUGAAUACUGGUGGA
rnacentral:piRNA from 1 species